rnacentral:lncRNA from 1 species
UGGAAGACUGUCUUGAUAGGAGACUCUCUCCAGAGAUUCUCUUGCUUCCUUGAUGAAAUAUGAGAUUGUGCAGAAAAUGUUCAUGUGGCAAGGAACUUAGGUGGCUUCUAGGGACUUCAGGAGGCCUCCAGUUGCUAAGGAGGGGGAUUGUAGCUGACAAGCAGAAAGAAGGCUAAGAUUGCAGACUCACAACCAGGAAAUGAAUUCUGCAAGCAACAUGAAUGAACUUGGAAUACCGCCUUAUGUUUCUUUGGAAUGAAAAAUUCAACCUUUCCCUGCUGUCAGUCAUGUGGUCCCAGCUCCAAGAGCCCCCUAAUUGGAAUAAACCAAUAAGAGGUUGUCUUAAAAUGGACCGGUAACCAACCAGAGCCAAUGAGAUGUGUUGACCCAAGGACUUGAAUUAAUGAAUAUGGUUCUACAUACUACUAUCCUGCCCAGUUAACUUCACAUUGUUGGUGACAGAAAGCACAGAAGACAAGAAGCAAAACCUUCAAGACUGUCAUGCCCAUGGAUAUUAAACAGACCUCUUUUCCCCCACCUUCAUUACUAUUAAUUUUUUCCCUUUAACUCACAAAUAAAUUCUGUUGACAUCUAAAGGAAAAUGUUUUUGUUCU